rnacentral:rRNA from 1 species
GGAAACGAGUUAUCUGAACCUUCGGGGAACGAUAACGGCGUCGAGCGGCGGACGGGUGAGUAAUGCCUAGGAAAUUGCCCUGAUGUGGGGGAUAACCAUUGGAAACGAUGGCUAAUACCGCAUAAURCCUACGGGUCAAAGAGGGGGACCUUCGGGCCUCUCGCGUCAGGAUAUGCCUAGGUGGGAUUAGCUAGUUGGUGAGGUAAUGGCUCACCAAGGCGACGAUCCCUAGCUGGUCUGAGAGGAUGAUCAGCCACACUGGAACUGAGACACGGUCCAGACUCCUACGGGAGGCAGCAGUGGGGAAUAUUGCACAAUGGGCGCAAGCCUGAUGCAGCCAUGCCGCGUGUGUGAAGAAGGCCUUCGGGUUGUAAAGCACUUUCAGUCGUGAGGAAGGUAGUGUAGUUAAUAGCUGCAUUAUUUGACGUUAGCGACAGAAGAAGCACCGGCUAACUCCGUGCCAGCAGCCGCGGUAAUACGGAGGGUGCGAGCGUUAAUCGGAAUUACUGGGCGUAAAGCGCAUGCAGGUGGUUUGUUAAGUCAGAUGUGAAAGCCCGGGGCUCAACCUCGGAAUAGCAUUUGAAACUGGCAGACUAGAGUACUGUAGAGGGGG